CACCAAUCCACAGCCACAGGCAGGCUUAGAGACGGAGAGACAAAGGAGGGAAUGGGAGAGCACAAAGGGAGCGGGAAUGAAAUGGAGCCUGCUUCCAGCCAUGUGAAGAUGCCUGCUGCAGCCUCGCCUUCUGCCUUGAAUAAAAGCUCCCUCAGGCCUCCCCAGAAAAAGAUGCUGCCAUGCUUCCUGUACAGCCUGCAGAACAUGAGAAGGAAGCAUAUGAAUGUUCAGAGAAGAUAAAGUCUAUGUACGCCAUAAAGGAGACAAUGGAAAAGGGGCCUUGAAGUAAAGGUGGAAUUGGCCAGGCAAGAAGGAUAAAGAAGACUAUUAUAGCCCUGGAAAAUAGUAUAAACAAAGACAGUCAGUUCUGCUCUAAGUCUUGUUUUGAAAACAUGAAUUUGUUCCAACCCAAUUCAUAUAUUAGGGAGCAAUCUAAGUGUAAUACAGAUUUUGCAUUUGCUGGUGCAUGGUUUUUCCCUGAGAAACACCAGAUGAAUGGAGAAAACUCUACUGAGCUGAACCAAACAGGGCAGAAGUACACAAAAUGUACACAAGGACACCUCUCAAAUUCCUACCACCUGAGUUUACAGGGUGUGUUAGAAACCCUCUUUCCACCACUUCAUAGGAACUCAUAAGCUGCACCCCUUCCAACGACCAGCUCCAUAUACAAAAUUAAUGUCUGUUUCAGGAUACUCUGCCAUAUUUAUUGCAGCAUGUAUCUAUUUCUUAACCAUUUAAUGUGUGAACUGUGCUACAACUUUAUUAGAUUCCUAUCUUUUUUGUUGUUAUAUUGACAAAACUUCUCAAUGUUGUAACCUCUAACUAUUUUUCCCAUUAGCCCUAUAGUUUUGUUUUUGUUGUUGUUGUUUUGUUUUGUGAGAUGGAGUCUUGCUCUGUUGCCAGGCUGGAGUGCAGUGGCACAAUCUCGGCUCACUGCAACCUCUGCCUCUGGGGUUCAAGCAAUUCUCCUGCCUCAGCCUCCUAAGUAGCUGGGAUUACAGGAGCAUGCCACCACCCCUGGCUAAUUUUUGUAUUUUUAGUAGAGACGGGGUUUCACCAUGUUGGCCAGGAUGGUCUCCAACUCCUGACCUUGUGGUCCACCCACCUCGGCCUCCCACAGUGUUGGGAUUACAGGCGUGAGACCAGACAGCCCUAUAGUUGUUCUUGGCAUGGUUUUUGCAUAACAGGGUGAUUUUAGGAGCAUAGAUGUUGUGCUAUAGCAAAACUGACUGCAGGGGUUAUGGAAUAAAAAUCUUGGAGAACUGUAAGUAUUCAUUCAUUUAUGUAUUCAUUUGACCAAUAUUUGUUGAGUGCCUCCUAUAUGCUAGACUCUGUUCUGAGUGAUGGAGAUAUGGCAGUGAAAAAAACCGACAUAAGGCCAGGUGCAGUGGCUCACGCCUGUAAUCCCAGCACUUUGGGAGGCCGAGGCGGGUGGAUCACAAGGUCAAGAGAUUGAGACCAUCCUGGCCAACAUGGUGAAACCCCGUCUCUACUGAAAAUACAAAAAUUAGCUGGGUGUGGUGGCGCACGCCUGUAGUCCCAGCUACUUGGGAGGCUGAGGCAGGAGAAUCACUUGAACCCGGGAGGUGGAGGUUGCAGUGAGCUGAGACUGCGCCAGCCUGGCAAAAGAGCAGGACUCUGUCUCAAAAAAAAGAACAGACACAAAUUCCUGCCCUCCAGGAAUUUACAUCCUAGUUGGGGAGAUAAACAAAAACAAGAUAAAUAAAUGAAAUAGGCUGGGCCGGUGGCUCACGCCUGUAAUCC
rnacentral:lncRNA from 10 species